rnacentral:tRNA from 1 species
GCCUGGCUGGCCCAGUCGGUGGAGCGUGUGACUCUCGAUCUCAAGUCAUGGUUCGAGCCCCAUGUUGGGUG